CUGGGAGCCAGGACUCCUGGGUUCUCUCCCUGGUUCUGGGAGGGGAGUGGGGUCUACGGGGGUGGGGGGGGGCAGGAGCCAGGACUCCUGGGUUCUCUCCCUGGCUCUGGGAGGGGAGUGGGGUCUAGUGGUUUAAAGCAGGGGGGGCAGGAGCCAGGACUCCUGGGUUCUCUCCCUGGUUCUGGGAGGGGAGUGGGGUCUGGUGGGUUAAGGGGGGGGGGCAGGAGCCAGGACUCCUGGGUUCUCUCCCCAGCUCUGGGAGGGGAGUGGGGUCUAGUGGGUUAGAGCAGGGGGGGCUGGGAGCCAGGACUCCUGGGUUCUCUCCGUGGUUCUGGGAGAGGAGUAGGGUCAGGGAGCUGGGACUUCUGGGUUCUCUCCCUGGCCUGGGGAGGGGAGCAGCAGCCAGUGGUUAGACCCCUGUGUUCUAGCCUCGGCUCUGGGAGGGGAGGCGGGACCCAGGACUCCUGGGUUCUAUAGACACCCCCACGCUAAUUUUUAUUAUCAAAGUUUAUUCCGAGAUCUGUAAAAAGAAAUCAUCAGAACCAACCAAAUCAAAUAAAAAUAAAAUAAUCAAUCGCCCCAGCCCCCACCCGCUACCCAUGAGCCCCCCUAUAUAUAUAUAUA